rnacentral:lncRNA from 1 species
UAAGAGGCAUGCCUUGUUAUUAGUGAGAAGGGAAGCUCCCACUUCAGGCUUUCACUAGACCUUCAAGAAUAGCACCUUGACUGAGAGGGUGAGGUUUGACUUGUUUUGCAGGCCUAGUGAGGGUGGAAGUCUGGGUUCACCUUAAACCUUUUGCUGACAUGAAUACACUAGUAGCAUCAUGUCUGGUCCCCCCGCCCACCCUAUGGAGUUUGGCUGAAGCAGGUUUUUUAUUUCUAAGAGUUUUCUAUCUUGUAAGGCUGCUUUCUCCUGGUCCUUUGGCUAGAAAGAGAAUGGGUUCUUUUAGGCUUCUAAAAUCUAUAAUCUGGGCUGGCAGUAUAGCUCAGCAGUGCCAUGCUUGCCUGGCAUGUUCAAGGCCUUGGGUUCCAUCCGUAGCACCACAAAAAAAAAUAAACAUAAAUUUGCUGCCAUUAAUAUUUUCAGAUUGCUGACUUAUCUAAUGUCUGGCCCAGAACAUAUGAGGCAAAAAGAAAACUUGGGAACCCAGCACAAUGCCAUUAUUUGGUCCCAAGAUUCUUUGUUUGUCUGCAUUUUCUUUCAGCAUUUCAGUUGGUAGGGUUUUUUUUUCUUUUUCUUGUUGUUGUUUGUUUGAUUUGUGUGUGCAGGGUGCUGAUGAUCAAACCCAGCGCCUCGUUUGCUAAACACAUAAAACACAUGCUCUGCAGGGCACGGUGGUAUGUUCCUUUAAUCUCAGCAAUUCUGUAGGCUAAGGCAGGAGGUUUGCAAGUUCAAGACCAGUCUGAGUAACUUAGCUGGACCCUGUGGACCCUGUCUCAAAUGAAAAAUAGAAAGUGUUGAGGAUAUGGCUCAGUGAUUAAGCACCCUUGGGUACAAUCCCUAGUACCAAAACAAACAAAGGAAAAAAAAAAAAAAACGAAACAAAACAACUACACAUUCUCUACCACUGAGCUAUCUGUGUUAUGUUUAUUUGCUGUAAUGUUGAGAGUAUUUAGCUGCUCUGGGUGGGAGGAGUAUAAAAUAGUAUCUGCUGUGUCUUCUGAAUGGGAUGUCUUACUUUCAGUUUUUAAACUUCAGCCCGGAGGAAUGGAGUUGGCUAUCUAUGGACUGAUACCUCUGAAACUGUGAGCCACCCAAAUAAACUUUUCCUCCUUAAAAUUGUUCUUGUCACUUUUUUGGGGUGCAGCAACACCAAAAAAAGCUAACUAAAACAUCCAUUAUCUUUUUACAUGCAUUGUUUCCAACAAAUUUAUCAUCCAUAGCUUUGUUUUUUGUACCAGAGAUUGACUCAGGGGCACUCAACCUCUGAGCCACAUCCCCAGCCCUAUUUUAUAUUUUAUUUAGAGACAGGGUCUCACUGAGUUGCUUAUUAGCACUUCACCGUUGAUGAGACUGGCUUUGAACUCAUGAUCCUUCUGUCUCAGCCUCUUGAGUAGCUGGGAUUACUGGCAUGCACUGAUGCACCCGGCCAUCUAUAUCUAUGUUUUACGUAACUUUUUUUUUUUUGGUUCUGGGGAUUGAACUUGAGGCCUCCCUGCUAAGUAUUUGUUCUGCUGCUGAGCUACAUCUCCAGCUGCAUUUAAGUUUUUAUUUAUUUUUUAGUUGUUGUUGUCAGUACCUUUAUUUUAUUUAUUUAUUUUUAUGUGGUGCUGAGGAUCGAAUCCAGGGCCUGGCACCUGCUAGGCAAGUGCUCUACCACUGAGCCACAACCACAGCCCCUUAAGUUUUUUUUUUAAUCACUUGUUUUGAGCAAUUUAAUUAUGAUAUUUCUUGGUUCGUUACUUAAUUUUUCUUUUGUUUAGGUUUCAUUUGAGCUUUGGUUUUUGUGUUUGUUUUAGUGUGGAAAGUUAUAGGCCCUCAUUUCUUCGAAUAUAUAUUUUUUGCUGCUCCCUCCUAAAUAGCUCCCUCCAGUCAUUUAUAUUUUAGGCUGUUUGAAGUCAUCACAAAGCUCACUAAUGUUCUCAGUAUUCUGGAUUUUUUUUUUUUGGAAAAAUGAACUCGACUGCUUUCAAGUUAGUGAUCUUUUCUUCCGGAAUGUCUAAUCUGCUUUUCAUCACAUCCAAUCUUUUUGUUUGUUUUUGGUACCAGGGAUUGAACCCAGGGGCACUUAACUAUUGAACCAUAUCCCCAGCCCUUUUUUCGAAUUUUAUUUAGAAACAGGGUCUCAUUAAGUUGCUGAUUCUGGCUUUAAACUCUUGCCUCAGCUUCUCGAGCUGCUGGGAUUGUAGGUGUGUGAAAGCUCACCUGGCUCCAUUCAAUGUAUUUUUCUUUAAAACAAAAUGAUUUUUUACUUGUAGUUGGACAUAAUUCCUAUUUAUUUAUUUAUAUGUGAUGUGGAGGAUCGAACCCAGGGCCUGGCACGUGCUAGAUGAGUACCACUGGGCCACAACCCCAGCCCCUCAAUAUAUUUUUCAUCUCAGCCAUUAUCAUUAUUUCCAGAAUUUUGAUUGGGCCUUUUUAAAUUUUUUGUGCCUACAUUUAACUUUUCUGUGUACUUUUUAAGUAUUUUUAUGGUACUGGGGAUUGAAUCCAGGAGUGUUUAACUACUCAACCACAUCUCCAGCCCUUUUUAUGUCUUAUUUUGAGACGGGGGUUAGCUAAAUUGCUGAGGCUAGUCUUGAAUUUGUAAUCCUCCUGCCUCAGUCUACCAAGUUGCUGGGGUUAAAGGCCUGUGCAAAUGUGCUCAGUUUCUUUUGUGUACUCCUAACAUCAUUGUCAGUGCUGGGUGGUUUUGCCAAUUAUCCUUAUUAUAGGUCAUGUUUUCUUGCCUGUUUGCUUACAUGAUGAUCUUUCACUGAAAGUUAUGCAUUGUGAAUUUUACUUCUUGGAUGCUGGAUAUUUUUGUAUUCUUAUAAAUUAUUAUAAAUCUUCCUGAACUUUUUUUUUUGGUGGUGCUGGGGAUUGAACCCAUGGCCUUGUGCAUGCAAGGCAAGCACUGUACCAACUGAGCUACAUCUCCAGCCCUUCUGGAGCUUUUAGUUGUUUGAAAAUACUAUGAUUAUUUAUGUUCUUCAUCUUCUGUUUAGGGGUUGUUUGUUCUGUUUAGGUGGAGAACAUUGCUUCAUUUAAG